rnacentral:tRNA from 5 species
GGAGAGGUGCUCGAGUGGUUGAAGAGGCACGCCUGGAAAGCGUGUAUACGUCAAAAGCGUAUCACGGGUUCGAAUCCCGUUCUCUCCGCAA